rnacentral:rRNA from 1 species
GAUGAACGCUGGCGGCGUGCUUUAACACAUGCAAGUCGAACGAAGCACCUUAAACAGAUUUCUUCGGAUUGACGUUUUUGGUGACUGAGUGGCGGACGGGUGAGUAACGCGUGGGUAACCUGCCUCAUACAGGGGGAUAACAGUUAGAAAUGACUGCUAAUACCGCAUAAGCGCACGGUACCGCAUGGUAUUGUGUGAAAAACUCCGGUGGUAUGAGAUGGACCCGCGUCUGAUUAGCUUGUUGGCGGGGUAACGGCCCGACCAAGGCGACGAUCAGUAGCCGACCUGAGAGGGUGAUCGGCCACAUUGGGACUGAGACACGGCCCAAACUCCUACGGGAGGCAGCAGUGGGGAAUAUUGCACAAUGGGGAAAACCCUGAUGCAGCGACGCCGCGUGAAGGAUGACGUAAUUUCGGUAUGUAAAACUUCUAUCAGCAAGGAAGAUGAUGACGGUACUUGGCUAAGAAGCCCCGGCUAACUACGUGCCAGCCGCCG